rnacentral:rRNA from 1 species
AUGCAAGUCGAACGGCAGCACGGGGGCAACCCUGGUGGCGAGUGGCGAACGGGUGAGUAAUACAUCGGAACGUGUCCUGGAGUGGGGGAUAGCCCGGCGAAAGCCGGAUUAAUACCGCAUACGAUCUCUGGAUGAAAGCGGGGGACCGAAAGGCCUCGCGCUCAAGGGGCGGCCGAUGGCAGAUUAGCUAGUUGGUGGGGUAAAGGCCUACCAAGGCGACGAUCUGUAGCUGGUCUGAGAGGACGACCAGCCACACUGGGACUGAGACACGGCCCAGACUCCUACGGGAGGCAGCAGUGGGGAAUUUUGGACAAUGGGGGCAACCCUGAUCCAGCAAUGCCGCGUGUGUGAAGAAGGCCUUCGGGUUGUAAAGCACUUUUGUCCGGAAAGAAAACCUCCGUCCUAAUACGGUGGGGGGAUGACGGUACCGGAAGAAUAAGCACCGGCUAACUACGUGCCAGCAGCCGCGGUAAUACGUAGGGUGCAAGCGUUAAUCGGAAUUACUGGGCGUAAAGCGUGCGCAGGCGGUUCGCUAAGACCGAUGUGAAAUCCCCGGGCUUAACCUGG